rnacentral:tRNA from 1 species
GCCUGGGUGGCUAAGUGGUUGAGUGUCUGACUUCGGCUCGGGUCGUGACCUCAUGGUUCGUGGGUUUGAGCCCCAUAUCGGGCU